rnacentral:rRNA from 1 species
UGAACGCUGGCGGCGUGCCUAAUACAUGCAAGUCGAGCGAGAAUCUUCAGACGAUCUCGGAUGAGUCAGGAAGAUGGAAAGCGGCGGACGGGUGAGUAACGCGUAGGCAACCUGCCCUCAGCAGAGGGAUAGCCAUUGGAAACGAUGAUUAAAACCUCAUAAUGCUGCAGUAACACAUGUUACAGCAGCCAAAGAUUUAUCGGCUGGGGAUGGGCCUGCGUCUGAUUAACUGGUUGGUGAGGUAACGGCUCACCAAGGUAACGAUCAGUAGCCGACCUGAGAGGGUGAUCGGCCACAUUGGAACUGAGACACGGUCCAAACUUCUACGGAAGGCAGCAGUAAGGAAUCUUGCACAAUGGGGGAAACCCUGAUGCAGCAACGCCGCGUGAACGAUGAAGGCCUUAGGGUUGUAAAGUUCUGAUCUGGGGGAAGAAGAAAGUGACGGUACCCCAGGAGAAAGCCCCGGCUAAAUACGUGCCAGCCGCCGC